AGCCACCCGGCUCUGGGCUGCGGAGGAGGUUGGAGGUGACCUUCCAGAAGGAACGUGGGACAAGGGAGCAAGUGAGGACCUGGUGGGUAGUGGUUACUCUGUGAGAAGCCAGCAGCACCAACCAAAUAGAAGGUGGAGAAGUGGCCCCCAGCUUCCCAGUUUGGGUUUGGGCCAAGACAACUAAGAAAAGGGUCCACCGUCUUCACUCCAGGUCAGAUGACCCUGCAUUGUAUCAAGUAGAAAAAUGUCUAACCAGGACAGAGGAGAAUACGAACCCUCUCAGCUCAUAGAUGCAAGAAGAGAGAGGGGUUUGCUGGAAAUCGUGGCUGACCACCUCAGAAGGACCCAGAAGACCCGAACUUUCUGGUUUUGCCUUUCACCUUGCUCUGAAACUUCUCCCAACACUGGAAGACAAGAAAGUUCCGCCCUACCUCCGCCCCACCUCCGCCCCCCGGACCAGGGAGAUUCUUCUCUUUGGGCAAGCAGGCUUGCUGGGCAAUCGUGAGCUGC
ensembl:lincRNA E130006D01Rik RIKEN cDNA E130006D01 gene